UGAACGAGCACUUAGAUUCCUACAAAUACACAGAUCAAAAAGACAUCGUUCACUCAAUCCACAUCUCUAUUAUUGAUUUCUUGAGGGAAAUUGAAAAAUGGAAUAUAAAAAGAAAUAGUGGAUAUUGACCUAACUAAAUGUUUGAAGAAAAGACUGCAUGAGUAAAUGUCAAUAGUUUAUUUUGUAACCAAACCUGAAAGGAUAUAUACUCAGAAGUGGGAUUGCUCGAUGAUGUGAUACUUCUAUUUUUAAGUACUUCUGGUGGACAAUUUUUACAGAAAUUCCAAAAGCUGCCACCAUCCACUUCCACCAAUUGAACCAACUUUUGCUACUACACACAGAUACAACUCUAAAGGCAUGAUCCAUGAAAGAAAACAUUGAUAAGCUUGACUUCACUAAAAUUAAAAAUUUCUGCACUGUGAGAGACACUGCUAAGAGAGUGAAAAGACAAGACACAGACUUGGAGAAGAUAUCUGCAAAAGACAUAUCUGAUCAAGUAUUGUUGUCCAAAAUAUACAAUGAAUUCUUAAAACUCAACAAUAAGAAAACAAUCUGAUUAAAAAAUUGGGCCAAAGACUUUAACUAAUACCUCACCAAAGAAGAUACACAGAGGACAAAUAAGCAUAUGAAAAGAUGCUCCAUAUCAUAUGUCAUCAAGGAAAUGCAAAUUAAAACAACCUAUUAGAAAGGCCAAAAUCUGGAACACUGACAACAUCAAAUGCUGGUGAGGAUAUGGAGCAACAGGAACUUUUCUUCAUUGGUGGUGGGAAUGCACAUUAGUACAGUCAUUUUGGAAGACAGUUUGGUGGUUUCUUACAAAACUAAACAUUCUUUUACCAUACAAUCCAGCAAGUGCACCCCUUGAUAUCUCCCCAAAGGUUAAAAACUCACUUCCAUACAACAAUCUGCACAUGGAUAUUUAUAGCAGCUUUAUACCUAAUUGCCAAAACUGGAAACAUCCAAGAUGCCCUUCAAUAGGUGAAAGGAUAAAUAAACUGUGGUACAUCUAGACAAUAGAAUAUUAU
rnacentral:lncRNA from 1 species